UGCUCCCAUUGGAAACGACAGACUCUGGUCUAUCUUGCAUUAGUUGUACAAACAUUUUGUAGUGUCACUAGGUUGUCAGCAACUCACACCCAUGCUGGAACAGUUAUCCGGGUGAAUAGUGCUUUCAAGACAGAUAGGAACUAAAAUAAGUCGGAAAGUUGGAGCUCUAGAAAGAUACCGGAGUUUCCAAUUUGGAAUUCCGAGUUGGAUGACCGUUCAAAUGUAAUACUAGCUCGUUUUUGUGGUUCCGAGAUCCCAAUUGUCCUGAAUGCACUGAAAACAAAAGUCGGAGAUUUCCGAGUUCACAAUUAUGAAUGCGGCAGAAAAUAAGGCUAUAUUGACAACGGGGCAGACACAUUUAAUGGCCAAAUAGAUGGAAUCUCCAGUGCGAUGCCUGGCUUGGCAGUGAAGGCAAAGGAGACGAGAUAACAGCUUGAGUGAGAUAACGUUACAUAAGGGGCAUCACCUCCCUCGGGCGGAGGAUUAUAUACCACCAGUCGACCUAGGGAGCCAAUAUCCCAGCCCAUCCAGCAGUCUGUCCAGGUCAGCGAGUUGGGACUCCAUAAAUACGAAGGGACUCCAUAAAAAUGCCGUGGCAUCCUACUCCAGUGCUCAUCAGAUGGGAGCUAACACCACCGAGAGGUCCAAGGUUGCCAUGGUUAUAUCCCUGCUGACUGGAUGGGCGUUGUAGUGUGCUACGGCCGUCUGGGAGAGAGGAGGAGCUGCAUUUGUAUGAGGGGUUCAUGGCUCUGUUCAGGGAGGUCUUCGCAGAAAUGGAAUGUAAAUCACAGAAAAUAGAUGUUGUGGUGGCAGCUGCAGAGAAGUACUUGGGUGUAUGAAAGUAAAGUAAAACUUCUUACCUUACAAACUUCAGAUUUCAGGUGAUGAGGUUCACCUGCUAACAGGUGUGGACGGUGGAAUCUGGUGGUAUCACAUGUAUUUGCUCUAAAAUUGUGCCAUAUGCCUAACUAGAAACACAAUUCAUGACCCGUCUCUUCUGGGGGAAAAAACAGGCACAAAACUUAAGCUACACCCAUUUAGAAAUCAAAUCAAAAUCAAAUUUUAUUUGUCACAUACACAUGGUUAGCAGAUGUUAAUGCGAGUGUAGCGAAAUGCUUGUGCUUCUA